CCCAUCUGGGCUACUAUAACCACAUGGACCAUCCCUUGCUUCAAUCAUAGAAUUCUUUCUUCAGAUCAAAGUAUAUUCAGACACUCGAUACAGUAACAAAAGCAAGCUAUCCUGGAAGGAAGAAGGAAUCAGGAGGCAGAGCACAUGGUUAAAGCAUGAGAUGUGAAACCAGGAAGAACCAGGUCUGAACCUUAGCUCCACCAGUGGUAGCUUCAAACCUUGGUCCUUUCUGAGCCUGCUUCUUCAACCGUAAGAUAAGCGACCAGAAAACAGUCCUCUCUGAAUCAGACAAACUUCAAGAGCUACAAGGGUUAUUAACACAUGAAGUAAAGAGUCAAACAGUAAUCUGCAGCUCAUCCCCUAUUCUCUUCUUGCAAUCGGGAUGCUGCCUGACUACCAACACACCUGCACAAAGCCCUCUGCAGCACCUGCCACUGGCCCAUGCUUUUGUCAUUGCCACCUCCAGCUCAGCCUCAUUCCCCUCCAGGCUCUGCUCCAACGCACAGGACCACAGGAACUCGGAAACGGGACCCAGAAAGUUGUUUUCUCAAGUGGAUGGAACAACACAAGCAAUCAGUAUCCUGAAACAGGCCCUGUUCCAACAAACUGACCCAGAAAGGUCUGGUUAGGAGGACAGGACCCUCACUAUACACUAUCACAUUUAAACUAAAAGGAUAUUAUGAAUUAUGUACACAUAUCAAGCUGAGAGGAAAGGAAAUCCUAUCAUCUUGCAGGCUUCCUAAUGAUCUUACUUAAAACUGAGUUACU
rnacentral:lncRNA from 10 species